UUUUCAGCUUUGUUUCACCUUCACACUGAAUCUUGUACCCAGUUUACAGAACUAGUUUACUUUCAAAUUCUUUGGUUCUCAGUUUCUCCUCUGGUAAAGUGAAAAUUGUGCCAUGCACUGAAAAAGGGUGUGAGUUGACAUGAUCUUGGGUCCCUGAUCUUUUUCAGGGACUGAAAAACUCUCAAAAAUUGCAUUCUUCUGUUUAUUAUUAAUUUUUCUUAUUCUGAUUCCUUGAUCCAGAUAUCAAGACAAGUGUGUCUGUCUUGUCUCUGCAUUCUCCAUUUGUGGUGACACCUGGAAUAUUUUCUAGGAUUUUUUCUAUUGCUGGAAUUUCCAAGGGCCCUACCUCCAGAACAGGUAUCACCCAAGACUGCAAGAACACAAAGAUGCAUACCAAGAUGUGCCUAUUAAAAACUGGUAUUUUAGUGACUAAGCAAGACACUGGAAGACAUCAGAAAGCAACAUGAAGAAGAAUAUAAUAGAACUAUACCCCAACUGUGAGAUCAUCACGUGAGAAGGAACAAACAGAACGCACUCAACAGAUAAGCAGCAUCAUGCAGUAGUGUGUGUGUGUGUGUGUGUGUGUGUGUGUGUUUUAACGCAAAUGAAAAAGAGGAAGCAAGGAACCCAUGUACUGUGAUAUUCGUUUGGCUGAUUAGUUGGGUAUUAUGUUUGGUUGGUUUUUGCUGUUGUUGCUUGUGUAGGGAAUAUUUUUUUUUGGGGGGGGGAGGUUGCUAGCUUGAACAUGCAUGUACAUGUAAAUUUAAAGCUGAAGUAACAUUUUUAUCCUGGGACCCAUAUUAUAUGAUUAUAGUUAGCUUUGUAUCUACCAGGUGUUCCUUAUUCUUAAAGAAAUCCAAAUUUUGGAUUCUGGGAAAUACAAAUUUUGUUCUUACAGCAACAUGCACUAGGAGGUGAGAAAUGAUUGUUUUAGCUCAGUUUUUAAAAAUUCCGGGGGUUUGGGAUUGGCAUAUGCACACUGUGGUAUAUAGAAUUAUUGACCAAAGGGGACCUGCGCUAUAGCACAGGGAACUUCACCCAAUAUUCUGUGACAACCUAUAUGGGAAAGGAAUCUGAAAAAAGAAUGAAUGCGUGUACAUGUAAAACUGAAUCACAGAAAUUAUCACAACAUUGUAAGUCGACUAUAUUUCAAUAAAACAUAAAAAAGACUCUGUCUUCCUUUGUCA
rnacentral:lncRNA from 1 species